rnacentral:tRNA from 9 species
UGGGGCGUAGCCAAGCGGUAAGGCAGCGGUUUUUGGUACCGCCAUUCCCUGGUUCGAAUCCAGCGCCCCAGCCA